rnacentral:rRNA from 1 species
CCUACGGGAGGCAGCAGUGGGGGAUAUUGCACAAUGGGGGGAACCCUGAUGCAGCGACGCCGCGUGGGUGAAGAAGCGCCUCAGCGCGUAAAGCCCUGUCAGCAGGGAAGAAAAUGACGGUACCUGAAGAAGAAGCCCCGGCUAACUACGUGCCAGCAGCCGCGGUAAUACGUAGGGGGCAAGCGUUAUCCGGAUUUAAUGGGUGUAAAGGGGGCGCAGACGGCGAUGCAAGGCAGGAGUGAAAGCCCGGGGCCCAACCCCGGGAUUGCUCGUGGAACUGGGUGGCUGGAGGGCAGGAGGGGGGGGGGGACUUCGUGGUGUAGGGGGGAAAUGCGUAGAGAGGGGGAGGAA